GUCCCUUUCGUUCAGUGGUUAGGACAUCGUCUUUUCAUGUCGACGACACGGGUUCGAUCCCCGUAAGGGAUA
rnacentral:tRNA from 1 species